rnacentral:rRNA from 1 species
UCGGUCCCACCCCUUCCCAUCCCGAACAGGACCGUGAAACGA